rnacentral:sRNA from 1 species
AUGGCUGUCGUCAGCUCGUGUCGUGAGAUGUUGGGUUAAGUCCCGCAACGAGCGCAACCCCCGUCGCAUGUUGCCAGCAUUUAGUUGGGGACUCAUGCGAGACUGCCGGUGACAAACCGGAGGAAGGUGGGGAUGACGUCAAGUCAUCAUGCCCCUUAUGUCCAGGGCUACACACGUGCUACAUUGGCGCGUACAGAGGGCUGCAAGACCGCGAGGUGGAGCGAAUCCCUUAAAGCGCGUCUCGGUUCGGAUUGCAGGCUGAAACUCGCCUGCAUGAAGGCGGAGUUGCUAGUAAUCGCGGAUCAGCACUGCCGCGGUGAAUACGUUCCCGGGCCUUGUACACACCGCCCGUCACACCAUGGGAGUGAGCAACACCCGAAGCCGGUGGCCUAACCCGCAAGGGGGGGAGCCGUCGAAGGUGGGGCUCGUGACUGGGGUGAAGUCGUAACAAGGUAGCCGUAGCGGAAGCUGCGGCUGGAUCACCUCCUUUCUAGGGAGCCCUGAAUUAGGGCGACCGGGCGCUAGUCGUCCGGAACUAGAAUGUCGACCGGGCCUGGCAGGGCGCGCACUCGAGCAGAGCUCGGGAGGACGCGCCCGCAUGCUGUUGAGUUUUGAGAGACCGGCGCUCCGCCGGCGUCUCGAGGACCUUCGGGCUUCGAGGCUCCACGCGGAGCGUUGCGCCCUCCGCGGACCUUGAAAACUGCACAGUAGCCAAUGUAACGGGUAUCACCGAGAGGGAGCCGAAAGGCGCCCCCUCAGUUGCUCGCGUAAGCGAGCUAAAAGAUCACCGUCAAGAUAGUAAGGGCACACGGUGGAUGCCUUGGCACCAAGAGUCGAUGAAGGGCGUGAACGGCUGCGAUAAGCCGCGGUGAGGCGCUGAAUGGCCUGCGACCCGCGGAUGCCCGAAUGGGGAAACCCGG